ensembl:lncRNA
GCUGCUGUAAAGAUUGAGGAGUCUGAACACGGUGGCUCUUCUCUUUCAGCCAUUCAAGGAGUAGAGACAGACAGACUGACGGAGCGAGACAGAGACGUCUUCAUCAUGAUGCUGACGAGGUGAUAAACUAACGCCCACCUCCUCCUGGAAGAGAGCUGCUGGGUGUUCCAGAAAGCAGGAUUAUUAAAGGAAAGGUCCCUCCAUUUUUAAUGUUAUAUUAUUUUUUGUGCAUCUCUGAGUGAGAUCCUAUCGAUUCCCUGGGUCAUUUCAUGUGUAUCUGAGUUAUUGGCAUUCAAGCAGGCAGACAUUUGUCCGGUAUGACGUAGUACUGUGGUAAAGUUUCUCUCAGUGGUACUGUGGUAAAGUCUCUCUCAGUAGUACUGUGGUAAAGUCUCUCUCAGUAGUACUGUGGUAAAGUCUCUCUCAGUAUGACGUAGUACUGUGGUAAAGUCUCUCCCAGUAGUACUGUGGUAAAGUCUCUCUCAGUAUGAUGUAGUACUGUGGAAAAGUCUCUCUCAGUAUGACGUAGUACUGUGGUAAAGUCUCUCUCAGUAGUACUGUGGUAAAGUCUCUCUCAGUAGUACUGUGGUAAAGUCGCUCUCAGUAGGACGUAGUACUGUGGUUAAGUCUCUCUCAGUAUGACGUAGUACUGUGGUAAAGUCUCUCUCAGUAGGACGUAGUACUGUGGUAAAGUCUCUCUCAGUAUGACGUAGUACUGUGGUAAAGUUUCUCUCAGUAGUACUGUGGUAAAGUCUCUCUCAGUAGUACUGUGGUAAAGUCUCUCUCAUUAGUACUGUGGUAAAGUCUCUCUCAGUAGGACGUAAUACUGUGGUUAAGUCUCUCUCAGUAUGACGUAGUACUGUGGUAAAGUCUCUCUCAGUAGGACAUAGUACUGUGGUAAAGUCUCUCUCAGUAUGACGUAGUACGGUGGUAAAGUCUCUCUCAGUAGUACGGUGGUAAAGUCUCUCUCAGUAGUACUGUGGUAAAGUCUCUCUCAGUAGUACUGUGGUAAAGUCUCUCUCAGUAGUACUGUGGUAAAGUCUCUCUCAGUAGUACUGUGGUAAAGUCUCUCGCUCAGUAUGACGUAGUACUGUUGUAAAGUCUCUCUCUCUCAGUAUGACGUAGUACUGUGGUAAAGUCUCUCUCAGUAGUACUGUGGUAAAGUCUCUCUCAGUAUGACGUAGUACUGUGGUAUAGUCUCUCAGUAGUACUGUGGUAUAGUCUCUCUCAGUAGUACUGUGGUAAAGUCUCUCUCAGUAGUACUGUGGUAAAGUCUCUCUCAGUAGUACUGUGGUAAAGUCUCUCUCAGUAUGACGUAGUACUGUGGUAUAGUCUCUCAGUAGUACUGUGGUAUAGUCUCUCUCAGUAGUACUGUGGUAAAGUCUCUCUCAGUAGUACUGUGGUAAAGUCUCUCUCAGUAUGACGUAGUACUGUGGUAAAGUCUCUCUCUCUCAGUAUGACGUAGUACUGUGGUAAAGUCUCUCUCAGUAGUACUGUGGUAAAGUCUCUCUCAGUAUGACGUAGUACUGUGGUAAAGUCUCUCUCAGUAGUACUGUGGUAAAGUCUCUCUCUCAGUAUGACGUAGUACUGUGGUAUAGUCUCUCAGUAGUACUGUGGUAUAGUCUCUCUCAGUUGUACUGUGGUAAAGUCUCUCUCAGUAGUACUGUGGUAAAAUCUCUCUCAGUAGUACUGUGGUAAAAUCUCUCUCAGUAUGACGUAGUACUGUGGUAAAGUCUCUCUCAGUAGUACUGUGGUAUAGUCUCUCUCAGUAGUACUGUGGUAAAGUCUCUCUCUCAGUAGUACUGUGGUAAAGUCUCUCUCAGUAGUACUGUGGUAAAGUCUCUCUCUCAGUAGUACUGUGGUAAAGUCUCUCUCACUACACUGGAAGUUAAUAGGAAUAUGAAUUGUAGAUCACUAAAACGUCUAUCAUACAUGUCAGAUUACAAUACUGGCUGAUGUCAUCACUCAGGAGGAUGUCUUCUCUCCAAUGAGCCCUUGAUCAUAUCUGGCUGAUGUCAUCACUCAAGAGGAUGUCUUCUCUCCAAUGAGCCGUUGAUCAUAUCUGGCUGAUGUCAUCACUCAGGAGGAUGUCUUCUCUCCAAUGAGCCGUUGGUCAUAUUACUGAGAUAUUCCAACCUGGAGAGAUGUGUCAUUUAACAGAGGGUGUCAGCACAUGUUUCCUAUGUGUCUGCCUCUUUAGUCCAGGGUGCAUUGCAUGGUGCUGUUGUUAUAGAAAGGAGAUGGGGAUCCAACGCAUCAACGUAUAACGCCCCACCCAGCUGACUGUCGACCAAUCACGUUCACAUUGUCAUGCUGCAUCACGCGGUUGCUAAGCUAAUACUAAGUCAGUGUAUACUGUACGUCGAGAAACAUUUUUGCUAGCUAGCCACCCCAUAGAGAGAGCAUUGCAUUGUGAUUUUUGUAGUCGGAUUUCCACAAAGAUUUCCCAUGUUGCUACCAACCUUAUUAUAACGCCAAAAUUAAACAUUUGUUCACUAAACAAAUAUUUGUGUUAUUUAACACUGUAUAUGAAAGGAAUGAGUGGAUUUUAUUCAGUUAUUAUCAGAUAACUUCGAUGAACAGGUAAAUCUCUUGGUUUUCUGGCUGUCCCUAUUUGACUUGUUUUAUUGAAUUCAGUUUGGUAUCAGAACUCCUCUCUGCAGAAAGCUGAGUAUCUUGGCUAUUGAUGUGUGCCUUAAAAUCUUUAGUGUGACUUACCACAAUAUUUGUGUCCCCUGUAUAUUCCCCACCACCAUGUUUUAUUUGCUUAUUUUUCUCCCCAAUUGGUAGUUACAGUCCUGUCUCAUCGCUGCAACUCCCGUAUGGACUCGGGAGAGGCGAAGGUCGAGCGUCCUCUGAAACACAACCCAACCGCACUGCCCACUUAAUCAGGAAGCACCAAUGUGUCGGAGGAAACACCUGCCGACUGUUUUAUCUAUCUGUUAUUUUACCACCUUCUCAUUUGCAGCAACGACCUGGGGAAUAGUUACAGGGAAGAGGAGGGGGGAUGAAUGAGACAAUUGUAAACUGGGGAUUAUUAGGUGACCAUGAUGGUUUGAGGGACAAGUUGGGAAUUUAGCCAGAUAAGUGCCAUGGGAUCUUUAAUGACCUCAGAGAGUCAGGACACACGUUUAACGUCCCAUCCGAAAGAUGACACCCUACACAGGGCAGUGUCCCCAAUCACUGCCCUGGUGCAUUGUUUAGACCAGAGGAAAGAGUGCCUCCUACUGGCCCUCCAACACCACUUCCAGCAGCAUCUGGUCUCCCAUCCAGGGACUGACCAGGACCAACCCUGCUUAGCUUCAGAAGCAAGCCAGCAGUGGUAUGCAGGGUGGUAUGCUGCUGGUUCAGGGUGGUAUGCAGGGUGGUAGGCUUCUGGUUCAGGGUGGUAUGCUGCUGGUAAGCUGUGUCAGCAGGCACUGCUCCCGGCCUGCCACAGGAGUCACUAGAGCACGAUGGGACAGGGACAUCCCUGCUGGCCAAACCCUCCCCUAACCCGUACGACGCUGGGCCAAAUCCUCCCCUAACCCGGGCUAAUUGUGCACUGCCCCAUGGGUCUCCCGGUCGUGGCCGGCUGCGACAGAACCUGGAUUUGAACCCAGAAUCUCUAGUGGCACAGCUAGCGCUGCGAUGCAGAGCCUUAGACCACUGCGCCACUCAGGAAGCCCCACUACAAUGUUUGAGAGAGGUUGAUAUGGUAGAAAUGGUGUUUUUAUACUUAACAAAUAGCAUUUAGGGAUUUCAAAUAUGUAAUAGCACUGGAAUUAUCUAAUUUAUGGACACUUGGAAACGUCUCGUGAACACACCUGACACCACUUACUAAAACAUCUGUCCAUUUCUAGUUGUUAGGUCUAACAAUCCCAUGUUUCCUGAUAUUAUUCACAUGUUGUGGAAGCCAUCUGAUGUGUUUCCAGCUCUGGUCAUCAAUAAUUAACUUAUAACUUGUCAAUGAAAGAUGACUUUCAUUGACAAAAAAAAAACUGUUAUUUCAUGUGUGUGCUUUGAUCUAGUGUAGUCUGAACUAUGUAACUCCUAUCUAUCUACUGAUCAUUUCCUCAUCAUCUCCCAGAUGUCUUCUUUCCAAAAUAUACCAAAUAUGGGCAUGUCAGAAUCAUGUAAGUACACAUGAAUAGCAGUUACUUUUGGGUAUGUCUAUUUAGGUGGAAAUCACAAUGUUGCCAUUACAUCUAAGAGGUUAUUAAAAAAGAUAAACUUGGGUAUUGGAUGUUGUUUUCGAGUCAAUUAUACCUUGCCAAUUGUAAGUCUAUAUUUAAGAAUACAAAUUUGGACAAUUACAUAGCUGGCUAAUUUA